UAAGACUCUCUCUCACUAACUCUCAUUUCAAUAAUAUCGAUACGACUGCCAAAAUGUUAUAAAAGCAACACGGGGCGCAAUUAUCUAUUAUAGUAAAGACAGAGAUAGAUCGCUGUGAAUUGGCCAAAGGAGAACAUAAAAAGAAGAUUGAAAAGUGCUAGAUCUGAUUAAACUCUAACCCUUAUGGAUUAACAACUGGCACGUGCACGAUUCUUUAUGGAAACAGAUGCACGAAGGAGCUUAUAGAAACCAAUUUUCCUGGUUUUAAAAAAUGGUUGAAGAUAUCCAAUGCUGUUCAAAGUGUUUUACUCGCACAAGAGACAGAUCUAGACUGUAUUUUGGCAUAAAAGUUACUGCCAUAUAGCUAGAAAAAAAUUAGCCUAAACAUAGCAGCUUCACGUUUAGUGUUUAUGUUCCAUUGAUAUAGAAAUGCUAAAUGUAAGCCUUUUUUAACGUUAACCACAAAUACAUCAGAUAGCCUACUGUACAUCCCCAAACAUUUGCAUUACACAGAAACCGCGUAGUUUACACGUAUUUUUCCGAUCGCGCGCCAGCUACGAUCCUAUUGGACGACACGUUUUGCUUCCGCGCUUUGAUUGGUCCUUCACAUUUUGAAAUUAGAGCCGUGGGUUUGAGAUUUGUAAGAAAUAUAAAAGUCCGUAUUCUCGCUGUCGGUCGCGUCAUUGGUUCGUCCCCCGUCACUGAAGUCGUUUUGAACUCUGAACUCGACGGUCAGGUGGCAUCCGUUGUGUUUUAAGUGGCGUUUUCCGAAGCCUUCAUGAACACGACAGGAUACGCUUCGUUCACGGUGACAUCAACAUGCAACAUAUCUGUGACUGAGAAAAGGACCAAUCAGCUGCAAGCUUGAUUCUUGACUUCAGGUGACGGCCACGUCUUCGUAGUGGUAGCAGUUAUGGACGCCCCAUCCCUGAUUCCCGCACUGGCUCAGGUCCGUCUCUUCUCCUCUACAGUCCACGUUGUCCAGCAGGAUGGGCCCGGAGCCCUGGCCGAACUUGGAGCUAGUCCCCACGGCCACGGCCACCCCGCAGUCCAGCUGCCGGCAAACCACAAGUCCGCUGCGCUUUACGUUCAGAUGGCUCGCAGCUCGCAGGACGACUCUCCAGCUCUCGGAGGUAAACCUUGGCCGGGAAAAGAGAAAACCCGUAGUGUGUCCGGCUGAAGAGCCACGAGGUCUUUCAUCUCACUAACCUUGUGAGUCUAUAAGUACCUGGCCGCUCCGGUACGUAUUACGUAAAAAAAGAAAGGACAAGACAACAGCAUUGUAUGUUAAUGCGCUGACACCUAGUCCUGCCCGGUUCAUGUGAAUGAAGAGAGAAAGGGAGGAGGAAAGAAGACGGCACUGAAAGCCGGCCCUUCACAGCUAUCCCAGCAUCUCUGGUUUCAGCUCGCUCUCACCCGAAGCGCUCUGCAGGCCGAGUCAAAACACAGCUGAGACUCUUUGAUGGGGAUCAUCCGCCGUCUUUGUAGCGAGUCGGUCGAGGUCGCCGCUGAAGAAAAGAGAGCCACGGAACGGACAAUGAGAGAUUAACAUCUGUGCACAGCUGCGGUCGGCGACCGGUGCGUCCCCGUGACCCCGUGACCCCGCAGACUGUCUUACAGGAAGCUGAAGUGUCUCUGCUGGACCUUCACCAGAGGCUCCGGCUGCCGGAAAGUAGGUUACACAAAAAGAAGAAAACAAAAGGAAGGAGGAAGCAGACACAGCUGAUUCACGAAUCACAAAGUGCACCUGUGAUCUUGAGGAUCCUGAGCAGAUGCUUGUGGUUCACACAAAGAAAAGAAGGGACUCGAGUGUCCUGGAGGAUCACAGCCCGAAGCUGCGAGGUUUUGUUGGACUCCGGGAAUGAACCGAAGACGUCUCUGCUCCAGGUCGCCAUCCAGGAUCAUGUUGUAGCUUCUGGGCUUUAUGAAUCAAAAGUGAAGUAUCGAAACAACGCAAACAGAAGUGUUUGCGAGAUAGUAAAGUGUCAGGUAUUUUUCUUGUGAAGCUGAUAUGAUAUAUAAACUGAUAUAUUGAUCCCUAAAAGAACAAAUAGACAGCAAAAAUAAAAAGAAUAAUAGCAGGUUCCUUUCUUAACCUAAAAACCAUCAAAGAAUCGACUUCUGGUUUUUAUUUAAAAGGGGUUUGGGACAAAGUGGGCUUUUUUUUGUGAUCUUGCUCAUAUUAAAAAUAAUCUAAUACUAAAAGAGGUUUAAAUGUGGGUGAAUCCUUAUGUUUUUCCACAGAAGGACAGAGCAGCGUUGAAAUUAGACUGAAACCGCUGUCUUAAAUUAGAAAUGCGUCUUGUUUCCUUUCAUCAAAACUGUUGCACAGAACUCAUCUGUCCCAGCGCCGGAUAUUCAUAGAUAUUCAAGAUAGUCACUUUUUGCUUUUAAAGAGGAAAUUCUGAGGAAUAAAUAAUGUUGAAACUACAUUUUUAGCUUUUCUCCCUUCUAUUAAGACAACUGCAUUGAACAAGCGUGUGUGUAAAAUGUAUUAUAACACUCCAACCAGAGAAGAGCACAUUUAUUUCCCUUAAUUUGGCUUUUCUUUACAGCAGUUUCUAAAUUGUCUCUGUUAUGUAACGUGUCCUCCUAAAGCAGUACUGUACUGUAUACUG